rnacentral:tRNA from 1 species
GGGGGUAGAGCUUAGCAGUAGAGUGCACGCUUAGCAUGCACAAGGUUCUGGGUACAAUACCCAGUACCUCUA